AUCUUAUUUGGGAGCAGAAGCUGUGUCUUCCAGGCUCAAGCGAGACCUUGGUGCUUCCGUGGCCUGCACCUUGGGGUGCCAAGGGGAAACCUGCAUGAGGAGCAGCUAGCCAGCCCCUGGCAUGUCCCAGGCUGCCGUGUUCCCCCUGGGACACCAGGCACAUGCGGGAGGAGGUUCCUGUGCCCCAGGAAGGUAAUUUGAACCUGUGCCGGUGGAUACCACGCUCAGUGUUUACACAGAAAAGGCAAGCGCAAGGAACAGGAUUGUGUUUGUUAUUGGUAAAUCAAACCAGCUGCAGAUCCUGCCUCUGAGAAACACCAAACAUCGCUGCUGUUCCCCUUCCCUUGGUCCUGGGCUGCUGGGUGCAUCUCUGAGGCUGCUGCAUGCAGGAACCCACUGGGGUCAGGGGCCACAGAGCCUCCUCCAUCCCAAUGUGACAGAGAGCAGCACCUGGGCUGGCGGAGGGGAUGGGAGGACUCAGGAACAAAGGAGCCUUUCAGGCCACCUAAUGCAGCCUGAAAGAUUCUACGUCGGGGCUCCCUGUAUGGUUUGAAUUAAGCUUGGAGAGCGGCAUUUUGGAGAGCAGUUUGGAGGGGUUCUCAUGCAAUACGUCUGUCGCUGAGCAGAGGCCACGCAACACUUCUGCAGUGCUUUCCAGCAAAAUAAUCCAUGUCUGCCCCCAAAAUGAAGAUGAUGAAUACCUGAAAACAGAGGUAUCUAUCUCAUAUUAUUUUGGAAUAAAGUUCCACACACCUACUGAUAGAGCA
rnacentral:lncRNA from 1 species